UACAGAGGGUGCGAGCGUUGUUCGGAAUUAUUGGGCGUAAAGGGCGCGUAGGCGGUGCGGUAAGUCACCUGUGAAAUCUCCUGGCUCAACUGGGAGCUUGCAGGCGAAACUGCCGUGCUGGAGUGUGGGAGAGGUGAGUGGAAUUCCCGGUGUAGCGGUGAAAUGCGUAGAUAUCUGGGGGAACACCCGUGGCGAAGGCGGCUCUCUGGGACGGUACUGACGCUGAGACGCGAAAGCGUGGGGAGCGAACAGG
rnacentral:rRNA from 1 species